rnacentral:lncRNA from 1 species
GUGGACUACAUUUCCCAGCCUCCUUUGCAGUGGGCCAGCCAUGUGACUGAGUUCUGGCCAAUGGCAUGUGAGCAGAAUGGAUAUGCACUACCACCAGCCUUCCCACCAGACCUCAGCCCAAUACUCCAUGCUUUGUCUUCUUGCCACUUGAUCUUAAAGCCCAAAGUCCCAGAGGGAGCUUAGCAGGUACAGGGAUAGUGGAGGAACUACAUGGAAACAGCCUGGACACUGAGUGACUGAGGGAGGCAGAGGCCCCUCCUACCCACUGUCAAGAGGCCAAUAACAUGAUAACUAGGUUUCAUGAGUGUGUUGGGCCACUGCUCAGUGUCAGUAUUUUACAAUAGCUGUAACCUGGUCUAAUACAGAUCCAGGAGGCUCUUGAUUAAAUUGGUGUUUCUUACUCCCACCAGCCAAGAGUUCCACUCCCCAUAACUUGUCUUAUAAAAGCAAUGGUCUUUUUUUUUUUUUUUCAACUUAUCAAAACUUCCAACUUACAAACAUUCAUGGACAUGAACAAAGCUGAACACCAGAAGAAAAAUGUGUCAGAUCUGCUCCCUCAAACAAUGGUUGUUUAUAUGGCACCAGGGAACAGAGUUUCUUUGCUUCUGAUUAGAUCUGAGCCGAUGGCUGGGGCUAGAAAGAGAGGACAUUCUGAGUGGCUAGGGCUGGGUCAUAUGUCCAUCCUUAGGGCUAAGUAGAGCCAGUUCCCUCAAACCAAAUGGGCUGAGAGUUGAGAAUGGAAACAAGAUAUCAAAAGAGUGGGCGAAUGGAUUCUGGGCAGGUUAAAAAAAAAACAGAGAUACCAACUCCACAUUUCAUGAGGAAAACAAGAAGGACACUCCAGGGACUUUCCCAAGAUCAAACAGUUAAGAAAGGCAAUUGAAUGACCAUCCUUGUCCAGGAGUCAUCUGUUUUUGGUGCGAAAGAACCCAAAUCACCAGCAACUGUGGAUAAUUAUAAGCACCAAAGAACCAUGUUCCCUAAUGCAUGGACCAUAAAGCCAUCAGUUGUCCUGAGGCUGCAGAGGGCUUCAUAAAAGGCCAUUCAUCUCAUUAAUAACUGGUCUGCUGCCAACUUAAGUGGUUUGGUGCUGUUAACUGUAAGUAUAUUUUUAAUGUAAGGAACUUACUCCCAUUAGCUGUCUUCUCUUUUGAAAAUAUGACCAAGUAAAAGGCUGAGAUUUCACAAGCUGAGAGAAUCACCUGGCAUUCCCCAGCCUCUUAAGAGUCUACCUGGGCAGCC